CCUACGGGAGGCAGCAGUGGGGAAUAUUGCACAAUGGGGGAAACCCUGAUGCAGCGACGCCGCGUGAGUGAAGAAGUAAUUCGUUACGUAAAGCUCUAUCAGCAGGGAAGAAAAUGACGGUACCUGAGUAAGAAGCCCCGGCUAACUACGUGCCAGCAGCCGCGGUAAUACGUAGGGGGCAAUCGUUAUCCGGAUUUCCUGGGUGUAAAGGGAGCGUAGACGGUGCGCCAAGUCUGGAGUGAAAUUGCGCAGCUUAACUGCCGAACUGCUUUUGAAACUGGCGACCUAGAGUGCGGGAGGGGUAAGCGGAAUGCCUAGUGUAGCGGUGAAAUGCGUAGAUAUUAGGAAGAACACCGGUGGCGAAGGCGGCUUACUGGACCGUAACUGACGUUGAGGCUCGAAAGCGUGGGGAGCAAACAGGAUUAGAUACCCUUGUAGUC
rnacentral:rRNA from 1 species